UCNCCUGGUUGAAAAGGAAGCCCUAG
rnacentral:piRNA from 1 species